rnacentral:rRNA from 1 species
CCUACGGGAGGCAGCAGUGAGGAAUAUUGGUCAAUGGACGAGAGUCUGAACCAGCCAAGUAGCGUGAAGGAUGACUGCCCUAUGGGUUGUAAACUUCUUUUAUAUGGGAAUAAAAUGUUCCACGUGUGGGAUUUUGUAUGUACCAUAUGAAUAAGGAUCGGCUAACUCCGUGCCAGCAGCCGCGGUAAUACGGAGGAUCCGAGCGUUAUCCGGAUUUAUUGGGUUUAAAGGGAGCGUAGGUGGAUUGUUAAGUCAGUUGUGAAAGUUUGCGGCUCAACCGUAAAAUUGCAGAUGAAACUGGCAGUCUUGAGUACAGUAGAGGUGGGCGGAAUUCGUGGUGUAGCGGUGAAAUGCUUAGAUAUCACGAAGAACUCCGAUUGCGAAGGCAGUUCACUGGACUGCAACUGACACUGAGGCUCGAAAGUGUGGGUAUCAAACAGGAGUAGAUACCCGAGUAGUC